AGAAUCAACGCUGGCGGCGUGCCUAACACAUGCAAGUCGAACGAGAAAGGGUAGCAAUACCUGAGUAAAGUGGCGCACGGGUGAGUAACACGUGACUAACCUACCCUGGAGUGGGGGAUAACUGAGGGAAACCUUAGCUAAUACCGCAUAACACCUACGGGUCAAAGGAGCAAUUCGCUUCAGGAGGGGGUCGCGGCCGAUUAGUUAGUUGGCGGGGUAAUGGCCCACCAAGACAGUGAUCGGUA
rnacentral:rRNA from 1 species